rnacentral:rRNA from 1 species
ACUUGCGGAAGGAUCAUU